UAUGUUUAUUAAUUACCAUUAGGGUGGGUGUGUAGUUCGGUUGGGAGGACUGUAUUCUGAGGAUACUGGAGUACAGAACUAUUAUUCACGGGGUGGAGAAUUUACAGGCAAACCUGAUGGACUAAUAAACUUUAUUCACUAUCAGGACGCAGCUUCUGCUGUUGUUAGCUGCCUGCAAAGCCCGGAGAAGGUUGGAGGAGAAGUUCUUCUGGUUGGAGAUGGUAUUCCUGUCUCGAGAAAUCAGAUUGUUGAAUAUAUUCAAGCUUCAACUAAAUACCGUGGUGGACCAGAAAUCAAGUUUACUGGAGGCGACGGGGUUGACGGCAAGAAGUACAACUGUUCAAAGAUCAAGAAUCUGCUGGGUUGGAAACUUGAGUAUCCAUCUUUCAAGGACUUCAUUACAAACCUGUGAUUUAUUCUUUUAUUGUGAAGUGCAAAGUUCUUUCAAUUAUACAAUUUACACAGAUCGCGAACAUAUGAUCUGAUCAUCUGUGAUAAUUCUUGUUAAAUAUUUUAUAAUUUUUGAUAACUUGUUUUUCUUCCAUUUUAUCCUUAUAUUUGAUAAUAAUACAUUUAGAUUAUUGCCUAAAAGACCAUGUUAAAAGAACUGUAGAGUGUAGACGUAAUUUCUAGCUCGGCACUCCAUUUAGAGAAGAGCAUUUCAAAUUGACAACUGCACCGUACAAACUUCUUUCGAGUAACAAUGAAAAGAUCGUCGUUUUGUCUUUCUUGGCAAGAGUAAAAAAGAGUUUCUAUCAUUGUCUCUUUAGCAUGAAAGUUUUAAAGAGAAACCACGAUUACAAACAAUUCAUUUUCAAACAGAAAAUGAAGGGUAUCUUAAACACCCUUUAUCAGAGAAAGGUUCCAGUGUAAUUUUUUGAACUCCGACUCGCCACUCUGAAAUUACGUCUUGUGUCCGUUGUGAGUCGAACGUAUGACAUGAUAAAGAUUUAUAUUUUUGAGAUAUUUUAGUUUCAUUUUCAG